AUGGCCUUGAUGUAGUCCAGACAUGUACCACAAUUUCUCAACGCUAUCUUUCACAAUGAACAUUCAAGAAGAAAAAAAAACAAUUAAAUCUACCUUGCUUAAAGAGGUCACAGAUUUACUGCAAACUCGAUUUGUUGGGGAUCAAUUGUGAAUUGAAGCAGUAAGGCUCAAAACAGAGAAGUGAUUGUCGAUGUAACGUUUGGAGAAGCAGUUGUCUGGUUCGGCUAUCAAACAUAAGUUUCUUUAUAUUUUAAUAAAAAUAUCCUUUCA